rnacentral:rRNA from 1 species
UACGUAGGCAGCGAGCGUUGUUCGGAGUUACUGGGCGUAAAGGGCGCGUAGGCGGGUGUUUAAGUCAGAGGUUAAAUCCCAGAGCUCAACUCUGGAACUGCCUUUGAUACUGGACACCUAGAGUUCGGGAGAGGUGUGUGGAACUCCGAGUGUAGAGGUGAAAUUCGUAGAUAUUCGGAAGAACACCAGUGGCGAAGGCGACACACUGGCCCGAUACUGACGCUGAGGCGCGAAAGCGUGGGGAGCAAACAGG